CCCAGAGCAGGACUAACCUGUGUGCAAUUACACGUUAUCGCACAUCAGAAAGAUCACCUCACUUUCAGCCGUCCUGAAACAUUACGUCGAUUGAAAUAUUUGUGGAUUCAUUGUGCGGGGGUACUGCUUUUGUAAAGGAGGAGGAAUUUUAACAGCGAUCAUUGGCCGACAUUGUGAAUAUCUGCUGCAGCCUUAGAAGUACCAAGACCGAACUACUGCAGAGAAACAUGUCGUGGCUAUUCCUGGACUGGUUUGUUCCCGUCUACCUGCUUGUGUCAGUCCUGGUUUUAGCGGGGUUCGGCGCAUGCCUCUACUUUCUGGAGCCUGGGCUGCAGGAUGCACACAAGUGGAGCUCUCAGUCUGCACACCGUCGCCCACUUGUGGCAAAUGAUGAGAACUGCAGCAAAGAUGACGAUAAUAAUGCUCUGAUCUGACAUGGAGCAUUGUGAUGUACGCAUUCUGUACUGACCACCUGGACUGCACAGGACACCUUCAGUAUAUAAACGCUUCAGAGGCAAUUGGGUUGAAGGCUCGAAUCAGUGACAGGCCACUAAAUAGAUAAAAUAGUUAACAGAAAGUGAAAUGGCAGGGCUCAAUAUAGCAUAUAGACUGACUACAUCACACAUUAUUGUGCCAUAAAAAUGGUGAGAGAGAAAUAACAAGGAACAAAUUCCAAGUACUAACAGUUGAUAAAGCAGCAGAUGUCAGGCAAGGUCAAAAUUGUGCCAAAUUUGCACUAUGUUUGUAGACCAUUAAAUGCUUUUGAAGAUAUUGCCAAAUUGUUUGCCCGCAUUCUAAAUUUGGUUGUGGUGUUUCAGUAGUAUUACUAGUACCAGUAUCCUUAACACUACUGAGACUAUGACCACUAUUGUACAAGUUAGUCUGUUGUUAUCUUGGUUAUUAAAUUGAUCAUGGUAAUACUUGUCUUCAUUUUUAAGUUUAAUACCGAUGACUGUAAUAAUAUGCCAAAUGUAUGUGUCUAGCCCUCUUCAGGGUUGCAAACAAAUAGUUUUCCAGAUUAACACCAGUAUGUAGACAAAUGAGAUGAGAGAUGUCUUCAUGUAAGUUUGUUGUCUAUUCAUUAUUGUUUGUCAUUUUCACAGCACAUGUUACCCUAUCCUUUUAAUACAGUGUGAGUUGAAUAUAACUAGAUACAGGUGUUUUAGUGUGGAAAAAUACUUCUGUGUUAAGCGCAUACUGUGCUCAAAGAUGAGAUAUAAUAAAAUCUAAUAUUUUG